GACGAACGCUGGCGGCGUGCUUAACACAUGCAAGUCGAACGGAAAGGCCCUGCUUUUGUGGGGUGCUCGAGUGGCGAACGGGUGAGUAACACGUGAGUAACCUGCCCUUGACUUUGGGAUAACUUCAGGAAACUGGGGCUAAUACCGGAUAGGAGCUCCUGCUGCAUGGUGGGGGUUGGAAAGUUUCGGCGGUUGGGGAUGGACUCGCGGCUUAUCAGCUUGUUGGCGGGGUAGUGGCUUACCAAGGCUUUGACGGGUAGCCGGCCUGAGAGGGUGACCGGCCACAUUGGGACUGAGAUACGGCCCAGACUCCUACGGGAGGCAGCAGUGGGGAAUAUUGCACAAUGGGCGGAAGCCUGAUGCAGCAACGCCGCGUGCGGGAUGACGGCCUUCGGGUUGCAAACCGCUUUCGCCUGUGACGAAGCGUGAGUGACGGUAAUGGGUAAAGAAGCACCGGCUAACUACGU
rnacentral:rRNA from 1 species